rnacentral:rRNA from 1 species
GUGGGGAAUCUUAGACAAUGGGCGCAAGCCUGAUCUAGCCAUGCCGCGUGAGCGAUGAAGGCCUUAGGGUUGUAAAGCUCUUUCGUGGGGGAAGAUAAUGACUGUACCCCAAGAAGAAGCCCCGGCUAACUCCGUGCCAGCAGCCGCGGUAAUACGGAGGGGGCUAGCGUUGUUCGGAAUUACUGGGCGUAAAGCGCACGUAGGCGGACUGGAAAGUCAGGGGUGAAAUCCCGGGGCUCAACCCCGGAACUGCCUUUGAAACUCCCAGUCUUGAGGUCGAGAGAGGUGGGUGGAAUUCCGAGUGUAGAGGUGAAAUUCGUAGAUAUUCGGAGGAACACCAGUGGCGAAGGCGGCCCACUGGCUCGAUACUGACGCUGAGGUGCGAAAGCGUGGGGAGCAAACAGGAUUAGAAACCCUUGUAGUCC